rnacentral:rRNA from 1 species
GAUGAACGCUGGCGGCGUGCCUAAUACAUGCAAGUCGAGCGAACAGACGAGGAGCUUGCUCCUCUGACGUUAGCGGCGGACGGGUGAGUAACACGUGGAUAACCUACCUAUAAGACUGGGAUAACUUCGGGAAACCGGAGCUAAUACCGGAUAAUAUAUUGAACCGCAUGGUUCAAUAGUGAAAGACGGUUUUGCUGUCACUUAUAGAUGGAUCCGCGCCGCAUUAGCUAGUUGGUAAGGUAACGGCUUACCAAGGCAACGAUGCGUAGCCGACCUGAGAGAGUGAUCGGCCACACUAGAACUGAGACACGGUCCAGACUCCUACGGGAGGCAGCAGUAGGGAAUCUUCCGCAAAGGGCGAAAGCCUGACGGAGCAACGCCGCGUGAGUGAUGAAGGUCUUCGGAUCGUAAAACUCUGUUAUUAGGGAAGAACAAAUGUGUAAGUAACUAUGCACGUCUUGACGGUACCUAAUCAGAAAGCCACGGCUAACUACGUG